rnacentral:rRNA from 1 species
AGUGAACGCUGGCGGUAGGCCUAACACAUGCAAGUCGAACGGCAGCACAGUAAGAGCUUGCUCUUACGGGUGGCGAGUGGCGGACGGGUGAGGAAUACAUCGGAAUCUACUUUUUCGUGGGGGAUAACGUAGGGAAACUUACGCUAAUACCGCAUACGACCUACGGGUGAAAGCAGGGGAUCUUCGGACCUUGCGCGAUUGAAUGAGCCGAUGUCGGAUUAGCUAGUUGGCGGGGUAAAGGCCCACCAAGGCGACGAUCCGUAGCUGGUCUGAGAGGAUGAUCAGCCACACUGGAACGGAGACACGGUCCAGACUCCUACGGGAGGCAGAAGUGGGGAAUAUUGGACAAUGGGCGCAAGCCUGAUCCAGCCAUACCGCGUGGGUGAAGAAGGCCUUCGGGUUGUAAAGCCCUUUUGUUGGGAAAGAAAAGCAGCAGGUUAAUACCCCGCUGUUCUGACGGUACCCAAAGAAUAAGCACCGGCUAACUUCGU